rnacentral:rRNA from 1 species
UCGAACGGUAACAGGAGAGAGCUUGCUCUCUUGCUGACGAGUGGCGGACGGGUGAGUAAUACAUGGGAAUCUGCCCUGAGGUGGGGGAUAACCCGGGGAAACUCGGGCUAAUACCGCAUGAUCUCUUCGGAGCAAAGUGGGGGACCUUCGGGCCUCACGCCUUGGGAUGAGCCCAUGUCUGAUUAGCUAGUUGGUGGGGUAAAGGCCUACCAAGGCAACGAUCAGUAGCCGGCCUGAGAGGGUGUACGGCCACACUGGGACUGAGACACGGCCCAGACUCCUACGGGAGGCAGCAGUGGGGAAUAUUGGACAAUGGGGGCAACCCUGAUCCAGCAAUGCCGCGUGUGUGAAGAAGGCCUGCGGGUUGUAAAGCACUUUUAUCGAGGAAGAAUAGGUUGUCGUUAAUAGCGCCAACACUUGACAUUACCCGUUGAAUAAGCACCGGCUAACUCCGUGCCAGCAGCCGCGGUAAUACGGAGGGGGUUAGCGUUGUUCGGAAUUACUGGGCGUANAGCGCACAUNUGCGCAGACCAUUANNUCNNGGGUGAAAUCCCGGGGCUCAACCCCGGAACUGCCUUUGAUACUGGUGGUCUGGAGUUCGAGAGANGUGAGUGGAAUUCCNAGUGUAGAGGUGAAAUUCGUANAUAUUCGNAGGANACCANUGGCNAANNNNUCACUGGCUCNAUNCUGACGCUGANUACNAAGCGUGGGGAGCAACAGAUUAGAUACCUGGUAGUCCACNCCGUAACGAUGAUGCAGACNUCNGGCANCAUGCUGUUCGNG